rnacentral:rRNA from 1 species
UACGUAGGUGGCAAGCGUUGUCCGGAUUUACUGGGCGUAAAGGGCGCGUAGGCGGCCACCGCAAGUCGACUGUGAAAUCUCCGGGCUUAACUCGGAAAGGUCAGCCGAUACUGCGGGGCUAGAGUGCAGAAGGGGCAACUGGAAUUCUCGGUGUAGCGGUGAAAUGCGUAGAUAUCGAGAGGAACACCCUGCGGCGAAGGCGGGUUGCUGGGCUGACACUGACGCUGGACAG